rnacentral:rRNA from 1 species
GCGCGUGCUACCAUGCAAGUCGAGCGAUCUCUUCGGAGAGAGCGGCGGACGGGUGAGUAACGCGUGGGUAACCUGCCCUGUACACACGGAUAACAUACCGAAAGGUAUACUAAUACGGGAUAACAUACGAAAGUCGCAUGGCUUUUGUAUCAANGCUCCGGCGGUACAGGAUGGACCCGCGUCUGAUUAGCUAGUUGGUAAGGUAAUGGCUUACCAAGGCAACGAUCAGUAGCCGACCUGAGAGGGUGAUCGGCCACACUGGAACUGAGACACGGUCCAGACUCCUACGGGAGGCAGCAGUGGGGAAUAUUGCACAAUGGGCGAAAGCCUGAUGCAGCAACGCCGCGUGAGCGAUGAAGGCCUUCGGGUCGUAAAGCUCUGUCCUCAAGGAAGAUAAUGACGGUACUUGAGGAGGAAGCCCCGGCUAACUACGUGCCAGCAGCCGCGGUAAUACGUANGGGGCUAGCGUUUUCCGGAAUUCUGGGCGUAA